rnacentral:rRNA from 1 species
UACGAAGGGGGCUAGCGUUGCUCGGAAUCACUGGGCGUAAAGCGCACGUAGGCGGCUUCUUAAGUCAGGGGUGAAAUCCUGGAGCUCAACUCCAGAACUGCCUUUGAUACUGAGGAGCUUGAGUCCGGGAGAGGUGAGUGGAACUGCGAGUGUAGAGGUGAAAUUCGUAGAUAUUCGCAAGAACACCAGUGGCGAAGGCGGCUCACUGGCCCGGUACUGACGCCGAGGUGCGAAAGCGUGGGGAGCAAACAGG